rnacentral:piRNA from 2 species
GGCUAUAAAGACUCUGUCUCCAGAAGA